AGCCCUAAGUGAAAAUUGAUAGUUGAGCAUUUUUAAAAUAUAUAUUAUUCAAUUCAAAUUAGUUUUUUCAAUUUACAGGAGACGGAGGAAGUAAUAUUAUAAAAUGUAUUGGUUUUAUAACUUUGUGUCCAGUUAAGGAACAUUUAAAUCAAUUGAACCGUUAACUUCAGUAGCUAACGUUAGCUAGCUACCAGCGCGAGUGUGCUGUUUUCUCGGCCAGAAUGGUAGAUUGGCUGACGAAAAUGUUGUGCAUUUUUUGUUGAAGAACCCCUUUCAUUCUCUGUGCAAAUUAAAAGUGAGGAUCGACCUUUGCCUAAAAUCAGUUUCAUGAAGGAUGAAAAGGUGCGUGCGUUCAAUAGCAACUGGCAUCAAAAGUAUAGCUGGUUAACAGGAGCCUCUCAUCAAGCCUGUAAUUGCUAGCCGUAGCUUGUUUUUUUGAAAGUCUGAGCCUUGGUACACUGACCCGAAGACCAUCGACUGUUCAGCAGGCAGCAUAUACAUGUCCAUAUCGGAUUCAAGCUACUGGGAAAAAUCUGCAUCGGUCAUGACGAAAGUCUGCGUCUUCAAACUGGGCGACACAGCCAGAAAGUUAGAAGAAACAGGGAUGUUCUCAAGCGGUUUAUCAUCACCACUGCGUUUUUUGUGCAUGCAAGAAUGUGCUUUUAGAGGACACUACGAGAUGGAAAGUCCCGCCGACAAAAAGUUAACUACAAUGAGCUUGCAGAGCAAAGUCCCCUCCUGUUCCCUGAUCUUAAGAGACAUUCUGUCCUGCACUGAAGUCAAGCCUCUGAACGCCUCAACUCAAGCCUCUCACACUCAUUCAGUCAUUGCUGUGAUCCCUUCCAACCACUAAGUAACCCUCUUAUUCCAAUUCCCCAUAAUAUUGUACUAUAAAUGUCUUUUAUUAAACGCUUUAGGUUAAAUAAUUA